CGGUGGAGAAGCAGAGGUCAGGACGUUGAGAGGGAACGUUGAAGAGCUGAAGGAGCAGGCUGAGAUACGAGACCAAGACCACAGGACAGAGACCCAGAGACUAACUACACAGCUGGAGGAAGCACACAUGUCUGUUGACAGUUUGAAUGAGCAGCUGAGGAUACUAUUGGAGGAUAACGUCUCUCUACAGAAGCAGAUGAUCAGAUUAGAAAAACAAUAUCUCAACUCUAUGAUGAAAAGUUCACCCAACACUGAGAUAUGUGAGAAACAGGCAGAGGUGGAUGAGCUGAGGAAGAAGGUAUCAGAGCUGAGGGAGAAGGUUGAGGAGGA